GGUUAAGCGACUAAGCGUACACGGUGGAUGCCCUGGCAGUCAGAGGCGAUGAAGGACGUGCUAAUCUGCGAUAAGCGCCGGUAAGGUGAUAUGAACCGUUAUAACCGGCGAUUUCCGAAUGGGGAAACCCAGUGUGAUUCGUCACACUAUCAUUAACUGAAUCCAUAGGUUAAUGAGGCGAACCGGGGGAACUGAAACAUCUAAGUACCCCGAGGAAAAGAAAUCAACCGAGAUUCCCCCAGUAGCGGCGAGCGAACGGGGAGGAGCCCAGAGCCUGAAUCAGCAUGUGUGUUAGUGGAAGCGUCUGGAAAGGUGCGCGAUACAGGGUGACAGCCCCGUACACAAAAGCGCAUGUGCUGUGAGCUCGAUGAGUAGGGCGGGACACGUGGUAUCCUGUCUGAAUAUGGGGGGACCAUCCUCCAAGGCUAAAUACUCCUGACUGACCGAUAGUGAACCAGUACCGUGAGGGAAAGGCGAAAAGAACCCCGGCGAGGGGAGUGAAAAAGAACCUGAAACCGUGUACGUACAAGCAGUGGGAGCACAGGUUUACCUGUGUGACUGCGUACCUUUUGUAUAAUGGGUCAGCGACUUAUAUUCUGUAGCAAGGUUAACCGUAUAGGGGAGCCGUAGGGAAACCGAGUCUUAACCGGGCGUUAAGUUGCAGGGUAUAGACCCGAAACCCGGUGAUCUAGCCAUGGGCAGGUUGAAGGUUGGGUAACACUAACUGGAGGACCGAACCGACUAAUGUUGAAAAAUUAGCGGAUGACCUGUGGCUGGGGGUGAAAGGCCAAUCAAACCGGGAGAUAGCUGGUUCUCCCCGAAAGCUAUUUAGGUAGCGCCUCGUGAAUUCAUCUCCGGGGGUAGAGCACUGUUUCGGCUAGGGGGCCAUCCCGGCUUACCAACCCGAUGCAAACUGCGAAUACCGGAGAAUGUUAUCACGGGAGACACACGGCGGGUGCUAACGUCCGUCGUGAAGAGGGAAACAACCCAGACCGCCAGCUAAGGUCCCAAAGUCAUGGUUAAGUGGGAAACGAUGUGGGAAGGCCCAGACAGCCAGGAUGUUGGCUUAGAAGCAGCCAUCAUUUAAAGAAAGCGUAAUAGCUCACUGGUCGAGUCGGCCUGCGCGGAAGAUGUAACGGGGCUAAACCAUGCACCGAAGCUGCGGCAGCGACGCUGAUGCGUUGUUGGGUAGGGGAGCGUUCUGUAAGCCUGCGAAGGUGACCUGUGAGGGUUGCUGGAGGUAUCAGAAGUGCGAAUGCUGACAUAAGUAACGAUAAAGCGGGUGAAAAGCCCGCUCGCCGGAAGACCAAGGGUUCCUGUCCAACGUUAAUCGGGGCAGGGUGAGUCGACCCCUAAGGCGAGGCCGAAAGGCGUAGUCGAUGGGAAACGGGUUAAUAUUCCCGUACUUGGUGUUACUGCGAAGGGGGGACGGAGAAGGCUAUGUUGGCCGGGCGACGGUUGUCCCGGUUUAAGCGUGUAGGUGUGUGUUCCAGGUAAAUCCGGUUCACUUUAACACUGAGGCGUGAUGACGAGGCACUACGGUGCUGAAGCAACAAAUGCCCUGCUUCCAGGAAAAGCCUCUAAGCAUCAGGUAACAUCAAAUCGUACCCCAAACCGACACAGGUGGUCAGGUAGAGAAUACCAAGGCGCUUGAGAGAACUCGGGUGAAGGAACUAGGCAAAAUGGUGCCGUAACUUCGGGAGAAGGCACGCUGACACGUAGGUGAAGUGAUUUACUCACGGAGCUGAAGUCAGUCGAAGAUACCAGCUGGCUGCAACUGUUUAUUAAAAACACAGCACUGUGCAAACACGAAAGUGGACGUAUACGGUGUGACGCCUGCCCGGUGCCGGAAGGUUAAUUGAUGGGGUCAGCGCAAGCGAAGCUCCUGAUCGAAGCCCCGGUAAACGGCGGCCGUAACUAUAACGGUCCUAAGGUAGCGAAAUUCCUUGUCGGGUAAGUUCCGACCUGCACGAAUGGCGUAAUGAUGGCCAGGCUGUCUCCACCCGAGACUCAGUGAAAUUGAACUCGCUGUGAAGAUGCAGUGUACCCGCGGCAAGACGGAAAGACCCCGUGAACCUUUACUAUAGCUUGACACUGAACAUUGAGCCUUGAUGUGUAGGAUAGGUGGGAGGCUUUGAAGUGUGGACGCCAGUCUGCAUGGAGCCGACCUUGAAAUACCACCCUUUAAUGUUUGAUGUUCUAACGUGGACCCGUAAUCCGGGUUGCGGACAGUGUCUGGUGGGUAGUUUGACUGGGGCGGUCUCCUCCUAAAGAGUAACGGAGGAGCACGAAGGUUGGCUAAUCCUGGUCGGACAUCAGGAGGUUAGUGCAAUGGCAUAAGCCAGCUUGACUGCGAGCGUGACGGCGCGAGCAGGUGCGAAAGCAGGUCAUAGUGAUCCGGUGGUUCUGAAUGGAAGGGCCAUCGCUCAACGGAUAAAAGGUACUCCGGGGAUAACAGGCUGAUACCGCCCAAGAGUUCAUAUCGACGGCGGUGUUUGGCACCUCGAUGUCGGCUCAUCACAUCCUGGGGCUGAAGUAGGUCCCAAGGGUAUGGCUGUUCGCCAUUUAAAGUGGUACGCGAGCUGGGUUUAGAACGUCGUGAGACAGUUCGGUCCCUAUCUGCCGUGGGCGCUGGAGAACUGAGGGGGGCUGCUCCUAGUACGAGAGGACCGGAGUGGACGCAUCACUGGUGUUCGGGUUGUCAUGCCAAUGGCACUGCCCGGUAGCUAAAUGCGGAAGAGAUAAGUGCUGAAAGCAUCUAAGCACGAAACUUGCCCCGAGAUGAGUUCUCCCUGAGACUUAGAGUCUCCUGAAGGAACGUUGAAGACGACGACGUUGAUAGGCCGGGUGUGUAAGCGCAGCGAUGCGUUGAGCUAACCGGUACUAAUGAACCGUGAGGCUUAACCUU
rnacentral:rRNA from 1 species